GGCAGCUGAACGGCAUCUCCCCAAGUGCAGAUGGGGCAGAUUAAAAGUGCAUGCAGAACACUGCCACAAACAGCUCUGAACACAGUCCUUCUGGGAACCAGAGCUGGGGACAUGAAAAAAAGAGCUAUAAUGGGUCUCCCUGCCUUCAGCUGCCAGGAGUGCUGAGAGGGGAACAAGUGCUCAUCCAAUAUCCCGAGGUAGAAGCACAAACAAGGCAGUAAAACUGAAGCACUCUGUGAGAUAAAUUUGCAGGGGUCAACUUCAAGUGAGAUCACAGCAUUGACCUUGCAUCCAGAGCCUCUGGCUUGCUGAGCGUGAGUGACCCCAGCCUGAUCUGUGGUGGGAUCAUUGCUCCCUGUCCAAGUGUGCCAUCAGGAGAGAGGUUGAGCAGACACACCCAUGGAAGUUGGUCCAGAUUGCCCUUCCCAGGUGGUAGGGCUGUGCUGGAUGGAUGGGAAUAGGGCAGGAGGAGGAACGUCAUCUCAGCAGCCGUUCUCAAGCUGAGCUAAUAAAGAGGAGCUGCAGACACAUAGGAAUAGCCUCAAGACUCCUUUGGUGAAGAUCUUCCAGCUCAAUUAUGUUUUCUGCAUCAUUUCAAUGUCCAGCAUGUAAAUGAAGAACGAUGCACCCAGGUUGCUGGUGGUGGGAAAGAGUGAAACUGAGUUAAAAACCCCUUUGAAGAGUUAUCCAAGGACACGGAGCUGGAGGACUCAUCCAAAGUGCUGGUGGCAUCCAAGAUGCUUGGGUUAUCUGAGGAGUGAGUUGCGAGCAUCAGAAAUGAACCAUUUAAAUACAACGUGCUAAACUGUUGAGAAAAAGGGCAAGCCCCUGUGAAGCCUUGCCUCCUCCUCAUCCUCCCACAUCCCAGCAUGGGCAGACCCUGCUUCCACUGGGAAAUGUACAAAUAGCCAGGAACCCAGAUGGUGUGAGGAAGGGGAGAGGGUGAGUCUGCGAGAACAUGAAGAACAAAAUGAGAAGGAGGAGUGGAUUUUUCUUGAUGCUUUCCACAGGCUGACCUUUGUCCUCUAUGGGGAGAUGGUCUUCCUUAUCAGCUCCUUGCAAAUUCCUUGUGAGGUGUGCACAGAGAGGAUGCCCAAGACUCUGAUGGAUAGAGGGAUGGAGAUGGAUGGAUGUAAGGACCCAUGCAGAAACACAACUUCUCCUCUCUUCUCCUGCUUCUCCAAUUUUCCUACACAAAUAUGCAUGUCCCAUCACUUAUCACUUCCUUCAAUCCUGACAACUGAUGAGAAAGUGUUUAGGACUCAAGGUCUUUAUUUAGUUUUCUAAUCAAGUAAUUUAAAUGUAUGAGUUGACACAAUAGGCAAAGAGCCAUAAGUCCCACUGCUUGCUAUUAUGUGUGAUUCUCCUUUGAGCAAAUAUAUAAUCACAGCCCUAAGUUAUAAUAAUUAUGUAAUAUUUCUUGAUAGAAGCAAUUGGAAUCCAUUGUGUAGGGAAGUAAUUACAGCCUACUUUGGUUCCUUUGUUUCUGAGUGGGUGGCAUUUAUGGGCAAAAAAAUUAUGCAUGCUCAAAAAUCUUUAUAAAAUGCUGGGUUCUCAGAAAAUCUUGGACCUCCUCAGACAUAUAGGAUUUUUAAGGGAUAAUAAAAUCUCUUUUUUUUCUGCAGUG